rnacentral:rRNA from 1 species
UACGUAGGGUGCAAGCGUUGUCCGGAAUUAUUGGGCGUAAAGAGCUUGUAGGCGGUUUUGUCGCGUCUGCUGUGAAAAUCCGGGGCUCAACCCCGGACUUGCAGUGGGUACGGGCAGACUAGAGUGUGGUAGGGGAGACUGGAAUUCCUGGUGUAGCGGUGAAAUGCGCAGAUAUCAGGAGGAACACCGAUGGCGAAGGCAGGUCUCUGGGCCACUACUGACGCUGAGAAGCGAAAGCGUGGGGAGCGAACAGG